rnacentral:rRNA from 1 species
CCUACGGGAGGCAGCAGUAGGGAAUAUUGCUCAAUGGGGGAAACGCUGAAGCAGCAAAGCCGCGUGGAGGAUGAAGGUUUUCGGAUUGUAAACUCCUUUUGUUAGAGAAGAUAAUGACGGUAUCUAACGAAUAAGCACCGGCUAACUCCGUGCCAGCAGCCGCGGUAAUACGGAGGGUGCAAGCGUUAUUCGGAAUCACUGGGCGUAAAGCGCGCGUAGGCGGGAUAGAAGGUCAGAUGUUAAAUCCUAUGGCUUAACCAUAGAACUGCAUUUGAAACUGUUUUUCUUGAGUAUGCGAGAGGUAGGUGGAAUUCUUGGUGUAGGGGUAAAAUCCGUAGAGAUCAAGAGGAAUACUCAUUGCGAAGGCGACCUGCUAGAACAUAACUGACGCUGAUGCGCGAAAGCGUGGGGAGCAAACAGGAUUAGAUACCCGAGUAGUC